CUUGUACACACCGCCCGUCACACCAUGGGAGCGGGUUUCACCAGAAGUAGCUAGCCUAACCUGCAAAGGGGGGCGGUUACCACGGUGAGAUUCGUGACUGGGGUGAAGUCGUAAACAAGGUACC
rnacentral:rRNA from 1 species